UUGGGCGUAAGAGCUCGUAGGCGGUCUGUCGCGUCGGCUGUGAAAACCCGGAGCUCAACUCCGGGCCUGCAGUCGAUACGGGCAGACUGGAGUUCGGCAGGGGAGACUGGAAUUCCUGGUGUAGCGGUGAAAUGCGCAGAUAUCAGGAGGAACACCGGUGGCGAAGGCGGGUCUCUGGGCCGAUACUGACGCUGAGGAGCGAAAGCGUGGGGAGCGAACAGGAUUAGAUACCCUGGUAGUCCACGCCGUAAACGUUGGGCGCUAGGUGUGGGGGCCAUUCCACGGUUUCCGUGCCGCAGCUAACGCAUUAAGCGCCCCGCCUGGGGAGUACGGCCGCAAGGCUAAAACUCAAAGGAAUUGACGGGGGCCCGCACAAGCGGCGGAGCAUGUUGCUUAAUUCGAUGCAACGCGAAGAACCUUACCUAGGCUUGACAUGCACGGAAAUCUCGCAGAGAUGCGGGGUCCGUAAGGGCCGUGCACAGGUGGUGCAUGGUUGUCGUCAGCUCGUGUCGUGAGAUGUUGGGUUAAGUCCCGCAACGAGCGCAACCCUCGUUCCAUGUUGCCAGCACGUGAUGGUGGGGACUCAUGGGAGACUGCCGGGGUCAACUCGGAGGAAGGUGGGGAUGACGUC
rnacentral:rRNA from 1 species